CAUAGCUAAGAUUAUUUAAAGUUAUGGGGUCAGUGACAGCAGCAGCUGCUGCUACUCCUGACCUCAAGGGAAUCACAGUCCUGGUUACACACAAAGUCUUGUCCUCCCAUUCCUCACUGGGACUUACUGGGAGGAGCUGAGGCUUCAAGAUAAAAAGAAAAGUAUACCAUGUUGCAAAGCUCUCAAUGCAAUCUCAUUGCAUUGGCUUUGGCAGCGGUUCACUUGGCUCUGGAAAUAAUAAAGUGGGAGACUGAAAUGACAAACAAACCGGAGAUCCAAACUGAAGUACCACCAGGGAAUGCAAAGCAGAUGGCCAGCAAAAGAAGACCAACCCAAAGAAUUGCUGUGGUCUUUGCAGGGAGAUUACUGACAGCACCCACCGUGGUGGCCUCCUUUCUGUGAGCUUGCCUGGCAUCGUUUGCAUCUCGAUGUCCUUGUAAUGAAUUAUUCUUGAGAGGAAUAAACAAGCUAGAAUGA